rnacentral:rRNA from 1 species
GUGCCAGCAGCCGCGGUAACACGGGGGGGGCAAGCGUUGUCCGGAAUUACUGGGCGUAAAGGGCGCGUAGGCGGGCAGGCCAGUCGAGGGUGAAAUCCUGCAGCUUAACUGUAGAAUUGCCUUCGAUACUACCUGUCUUGAGUUCGGGAGAGGGAAGCGGAAUUCCUGGUGUAGCGGUGAAAUGCGUAGAUAUCAGGAAGAACACCGGUAGCGAAGGCGGCUUCCUGGCCCGAUACUGACGCUGAAGCGCGAAAGCGUGGGGAGCAAACAGGAUUAGAUACCCUGGUAGUCCACGCCGUAAACGAUGGGUACUAGGUGUUGGGAUCGAUUCUGUCGGUCUCAGUGCCGCAGCUAACGCAUUAAGUACCCCGCCUGGGGAGUACGGUCGCAAGGCUGAAACUCAAAUGAAUUGACGGGG